GGAUAAGGAAAGUAAAAAAGGGCGCAUGGCGGAUGCCUUGGCUCUCGGAGGCGAUGAAGGACGUGAUAAGCUGCGAUAAGCUUUGGGGAGGUGCAAAUGACCUUUGAUCCAGAGAUUUCCGAAUGGGACAACCCAAUAUCUUGAAGAGGUAUUAUCUUACUAUGUAAGAGGCUAACGCAGGGAACUGAAACAUCUUAGUACCUGCAGGAAAAGAAAAUAAACAAUGAUUCCCCCAGUAGUGGCGAGCGAACGGGGAACAGCCCAAACCAUCCAUGUUACGGCAUGGGUGGGGUUGUAGGACUACGCCGUUGCAUGAAGACAUCAGAGAAGAACUUUCUGGAAAGAAAGACCAUAGAGCAUGACAGUUGCGUAUUCGAAUGUUGUCGAAGCAUAGUAGUAUCCUGAGUAGCGCGGAGCACGAGGAAUUCUGCGUGAAUCUGCCGGGACCAUCCGGUAAGGCUAAAUACUCCCGAGAGACCGAUAGCGAACCAGUACCGUGAGGGAAAGGUGAAAAGCACUUCGAACAGAAGAGUGAAAUAGUUCCUGAAACCGUGCGCCUACAAGCGGUCGGAGCUCGUUAAUGAGUGACGGCGUGCCUUUUGCAUAAUGAACCUACGAGUUGCCUUUGCCGGCAAGGUUAAGUGUGACGACACACGUAUCCGAAGCGAAAGCGAGUCUGAACAGGGCGUAUAGUCGGCAGUGGCAGACGCGAAACCAAGUGAUCUACCCUUGGCCAGGUUGAAGGCUGGGUAACACCAGCUGGAGGACCGCACCAAUAAGCGUUGAAAAGCUUCUGGAUGAGCUGAGGGUAGGGGUGAAAGGCUAAUCAAACUUGGAGAUAGCUCGUACUCCCCGAAAUGCAUUUAGGUGCAGCCUUGCGGGUUACUGAUGUGAGGUAGAGCGACUGAUAAGAUGCGAGGGCUUCACCGCCUAUCAAGUCUUGACAAACUCCGAAUGCGCAUCAGUUCUACCGCAGGAGUGAGGGCAUGGGUGCUAAGGUCCGUGCCCGAGAGGAGAAGAAUCCGGACCACCUGCUAAGGUCCCGAAAUGACAGCUAAGUUAAACUAACGAAGUCUGACUGCUAAGACAGCUAGGAUGUUGGCUUGGAAGCAGCCAUUCAUUUAAAGAGUGCGUAACAGCUCACUAGUCGAGGAGUCGGGCGUGGAUAAUAAUCGGGUAUCAAGUUGUCUACCGAAGCAGUGGGAUCAUUAAUAUGAUCGGUAGGGGAGCAUUCCAGUCAGCGUCGAAGGCGUACCGUGAGGUAUUCUGGAGCGUCUGGAAAAGCAAAUGUAGGUAUAAGUAACGAUAAAGGGGGCGGGAAACCCCCUCGCCGAAAGACUAAGGUUUCCUGAUCAACGCUAAUCGGAUCAGGGUCAGUCGGGUCCUAAGGCUCAGCCGAACGGCGAUGCCGAUGGCAGAAACGGUUAAUAUUCCGUUACUACCUUCAGGAGUGACGUGGAGACGCAGUAGUGACAGUGCCGCCAUCUGACGGAAUAGAUGGUUGAAGGGUGUAGGAGUCGAUCAUGGCAGGCAAAUCCACCAUGAGAUCCGAACCUGACAGUAUGCCGCGUCCUUCGGGACAAGGCAAUAGUGCGCGUAAGCAUGCUGCCGAGAAAAUCCGCUAAACUUAAUCCUGCAGGUACCCGUACCGCAAACGGACACACGUAGUCGGGAUGAAUAUUCUAAGGCGCUUGAGUGAUUCACGGUUAAGGAACUAGGCAAACUGACCCUGUAACUUCGGGAUAAAGGGUCCCUACCCUUUUAUGGGAGGGCGCAGAGAAUCGGUCCAGGCAACUGUUUAACAAAAACACAGGGCUGUGCCAAAUCGAAAGAUCCAGUAUACAGCCUGACACCUGCCCGGUGCUGGAAGGUUAAGAGGAGAUGUCAUCGAUAAGAGAAGCGUUGAAUUGAAGCCCCAGUAAACGGCGGCCGUAACUAUAACGGUCCUAAGGUAGCGAAAUUCCUUGUCGGGUAAGUUCCGACCUGCACGAAUGGUGUAAUGAUCUGGACGCUGUCUCAACCGUGAGCUCAGUGAAAUUGUAGUAUCGGUGAAGAUGCCGAUUACCCGCGAUGGGACGAAAAGACCCCGUGAACCUUUACUAUAGCUUAUCAUUGAAUCUGGGCACGUGAUGUGUAGGAUAGGUCGGAGGCUUUGAAGCAGGUACGCCAGUAUUUGUGGAGCCGCUGUUGAAAUACGACCCUUUAUUUGUUUGGAUUCUAACCCGUGGAACGGGGACAUUGAUUGGUGGGUAGUUUGACUGGGGUGGUCGCCUCCAAAAGCGUAACGGAGGCUUCUAAAGGUGCCCUCCGGCCGAUUGGUAACCGGCCUUAGAGUGUAAUGGCAUAAGGGCGCUUGACUGGGAGACUAACAAGUCGAUCAGGUAGGAAACUAGAGCAUAGUGAUCCGGUGUUUCCGUAUGGAAGGGACAUCGCUCAAAGGAUAAAAGGUACUCCGGGGAUAACAGGCUGAUCCCUCCCAAGAGCUCAUAUCGACGGAGUGGUUUGGCACCUCGAUGUCGGCUCGUCACAUCCUGGGGCUGGAGAAGGUCCCAAGGGUUGGGCUGUUCGCCCAUUAAAGUGGCACGCGAGCUGGGUUCAGAACGUCGUGAGACAGUUCGGUCUCUAUCUAUCGUGGGCGUAUGAAAUUUGCGUGGCUCUGACACUAGUACGAGAGGACCGUGUUGGACAGACCUCUGGUUUGCCGGUUGUGCCGCCAGGUGCAUUGCCGGGUAUCUAAGUCUGGAUCGGAUAAGUGCUGAAAGCAUCUAAGUACGAAGCCGGCCACAAGAUUAGAUUUCUCAGGGUCGUUGUAGACUACGACGUUGAUAGGAUGCAGGUGUAAAGAUGGAGACAUCAAAGCCGAGCAUUACUAAUUGCCCGUUCACUUUCCUUA
rnacentral:rRNA from 1 species